rnacentral:rRNA from 1 species
GGGGAAUAUUGCACAAUGGGGGGAACCCUGAUGCAGCGACGCCGCGUGAGUGAAGAAGUAUUUCGGUAUGUAAAGCUCUAUCAGCAGGGAAGAAAAUGACGGUACCUGACUAAGAAGCCCCGGCUAACUACGUGCCAGCAGCCGCGGUAAUACGUAGGGGGCAAGCGUUAUCCGGAAUUACUGGGUGUAAAGGGUGCGUAGGUGGUAUGGCAAGUCAGAAGUGAAAACCCAGGGCUUAACUCUGGGACUGCUUUUGAAACUGUCAGACUGGAGUGCAGGAGAGGUAAGCGGAAUUCCUAGUGUAGCGGUGAAAUGCGUAGAUAUUAGGAGGAACAUCAGUGGCGAAGGCGGCUUACUGGACUGAAACUGACACUGAGGCACGAAAGCGUGGGGAGCAAACAGGAUUAGAUACCCUGGUAGUCCACGCCGUAAACGAUGAUUGCUAGGUGUAGGUGGGUAUGGACCCAUCGGUGCCGCAGCUAACGCAAUAAGCAAUCCACCUGGGGAGUACGUUCGCAAGAAUGAAACUCAAAGGAAUUGACGGGGGCCCGCACAAGCAGUGGAGUAUGUGGUUUAAUUCGACGCAACGCGAAGAACCUUACCAAGUCUUGACAUCCCUUGACGAUGCUGGAAACAGCAUUUCUCUUCGGAGCAAGGAGACAGGUGGUGCAUGGUUGUCGUCAGCUCGUGUCGUGAGAUGUUGGGUUAAGUCCCGCAACGAGCGCAACCCUUACCUUCAGUAGCCAGCGGUUCGGCCGGGCACUCUGGAGGGACUGCCAGGGAUAACCUGGAGGAAGGUGGGGAUGACGUCAAAUCAUCAUGCCCCUUAUGAUUUGGGCUACACACGUGCUACAAUGGCGUAAACAAAGGGAAGCGAGAGCGUGAGCUUAAGCAAAUCUCAAAAAUAACGUCUCAGUUCGGAUUGUAGUCUGCAACUCGACUACAUGAAGCUGGAAUCGCUAGUAAUCGCGAAUCAGCAUGUCGCGGUGAAUACGUUCCCG